CUGCGCGGAGUGGGUGAUGCUUGCAGGGGCAGCAGCGCUUGUUAUGACUCUAGGUCCAGUUUCAAUCACUGGCGUCAGACGGACUCUUACCUCUUUCCACCUUCUCUUUUACGGUGGAUAUCGACGGAAAACCGAAGCGCCCGAGUAACUCUGAGUCGUUUUACUGUGAAAAGCGCUCCACGGGACUUAAGACCUCUUGCGCGUGUUACUUUGAGGUCAGGCGGAUUUUUUGGUGUUUACCGUGAAUAGUAAAGUAUACAUUUGUCUUAUCGUUUUUCGAGAUGCUUUUAUAAUACAGUUAUAUUAUUGUACCUUACGGCAGUUUCAGUCUGGAGUUAAUUUUUGUCGCAUUUGCACGCUUUAUUUAGACUUGUGACUUUUUCCUCCUCGCUUUGAAUGCGUUGCAAAUAUGAUGUCACCGACGCCACUUUUUCCUGAAGUUAUGGCGGAGCACAACUUUUCUUACUUCUCUUGACCAUUGAUCGCACUUGGCUGUUCUAAUGGAGCACCUUCAGGGAGCGUGGAAGUCCCUGAGUAACGGGUUCAGUAUGAAGGACCCUGCGUUUGAGAACCCCUGCCUGUCGCCCACCAUGGUCCAAGGCUUCCCCUGCCACCGCCGCUCCUCCGAUGACAGCAAAAUGCCUGAUUCCAAGACAAGCAGCACAAUCCGUGUCUACCUCCCAAAUCAGCAGCGCACUGUGGUAAAUGUGCGACCUGGUAUGACUUUGCACAGUUGCCUGAUUAAAGCCUUAAAGGUCAGAGGUCUGCAGCCCCAAUGCUGUGCUGUUUUUAAAUUGCAUCCGGCACAGGGAAGUAAAAAGCUACGAAUGGAUUGGAACACUGACUCCACUUCUUUAAUUGGUGAAGAGCUACUUGUGGAAGUUUUAGAUCAUGUGCCCUUGACAACUCAUAAUUUUGUUCGUAAGACAUAUUUGAAGUUAGCCUUUUGCGAUAUUUGCCAGAAGUUCCUCAUUAAUGGCUUUCGUUGCCAAACCUGUGGCUAUAAAUUUCAUGAACACUGCAGCACCAAAGUCCCAACGAUGUGUGUCGACUGGAGCAACAUAAGACAGCUUCUGUUAUGUCCAACACCUGGAGAGGGCAGUGCUCCGUCUCUUCCACCAAUGACUUUUCGAAGAAUGAGGGAAUCUUUAACCAGGAUUCCAAGCUCCGCUCACAGAUACUCUACGCCUCACGCCUUCAACUACAACACAUCUUAUGCAUCUCCGGGGGGCGCUCUUUCUCAAAGGCAACGCUCCACCUCCACACCCAAUGUCCACAUGGUCAGCACCACCCUGCCCAUCGACAGCAGCAUGAUGGAGCUAGACGGCCUGAAUGCCUCUUCCAGCUCCUGGUGUCAUAGAUUCUGGCUCAAGAGGAAAGUAGGUAUAGUGCACUUCUCCCAGUCAUUUGCUGAGGCCACACCCGAGAUUUCCGACAAGGAUGCCAUGUGUGAUCACAACUCGGCAGGUAGCUCUCCCAACCAGAGCCCCACUGGCUGGGCCCAGUCCAAAACCCCUGCUCCUGCACAGCGUGAGAGAGCUCCUUCUCUCAACACUCAGGAAAAAAAUAAAAUUAGACCUCGAGAUAAGCGGGAUUCCAGUUACUACUGGGAGAUUGAGGCCAGUGAGGUGUAUCUGCACUCCUGUAUUGGAUCAGGCUCUUUUGGAACUGUAUACAAAGGGAAAUGGCAUGGUGAUGUAGCAGUGAAAAUUUUAAAGGUCAAAGAUCCUACCCCUGAACAGUUUCAAGCUUUCAGAAAUGAGGUGGCCGUUUUGCGGAAAACGCGACACGUCAAUAUCCUGUUGUUUAUGGGCUAUAUGACAAAAGACAACCUGGCCAUAGUGACACAGUGGUGUGAAGGGAGCAGCCUUUACAAGCACAUUCAUGUUCUGGAGACCAAUUUCCAGAUGAUCCAACGAAUAGACAUCGCCAGGCAAACUGCACAGGGCAUGGACUAUUUGCAUGCAAAGAACAUCAUCCAUCGUGAUAUGAAGUCCAACAACAUCUUUUUGCAUGAUGGAUUAACAGUUAAAAUAGGGGACUUUGGUCUUGCAACUGUAAAAACAAGAUGGAGUGGUUCACAUCAAGUGGAGCAGCCCUCAGGAUCUAUCCUCUGGAUGGCCCCUGAAGUGAUUCGAAUGCAGGACAACAAUCCGUACAGCUUCCAGUCUGACGUCUAUUCCUAUGGAAUUGUGCUCUUUGAACUCAUGACUGGAGAGCUCCCAUAUUCUCAAAUCGCAAACAGGGAUCAGAUCAUCUUUAUGGUGGGCAGAGGCUACCUAUCUCCAGACCUUAGUAAGCUCUUCAAGAGUUGUCCCAAAGCCAUGAAAAGACUGGUCGCCGACUGCAUCAAAAAAUCCAAAGAUGAAAGACCUCUUUUUCCACAGAUCUUGUCAUCCAUCGAGCUCCUCCAGCACGCUCUUCCUAAGAUAAACCGCAGUGCCUCGGAGCCGUCCCUGCACCGAGCGGCCCAUGCAGAGGACAUGAACACCUGCACCCUGACCUACACCAGGCUGCCUGUGUUCUAAAGACUGCACUAACCCCAUCACCUCCGCCCUUUUGAUGACCCAAAGGCAAUACACCAAAAGCGAUACACGAAACUACCGCAGACUGUAGCUUAUCAAUGUGGAUACUGUCAAAUGUCCUUAUGGAUAUGGACCUGCAGGGACAAUGCGUCAGAGAUUAUCUAUGAAGGCAAACUGAACCCACACAUGAAGAUGGGCAGGAUCAUGGUUAAGAAGGUGCCUUACUGUUGUCUUCCCUGGUCAUGGUUACAACAUUGUAAAUACAUUCACGUACUGUACAUCUACCUAAAGACGGCACAAACGGACUUUAAAGGAAGAUGGGUCAGUCCGUCCGGAGAAGGAAUCCUGCACAAAACUGUCCAUUGUCUCGUUGGGUCCUAUUGGAGCAGUACGAGUAUGGAAUGGAAGACUUUGAAUUUGCACAUUUUUGCAAAAGCAAUGGUUUUAAAUCAGCAGUUCUUUCUCUGUAGUAAAUGGAGGUGUAGAUACCACACACUUUUGGUCCUUCCUCUGCUUUUUCAUGAGCUGGACUGUUGCUGUUGUCUUAAAUAUUUAAAUCACAUGGAGACUAACAUGUACUGUCUAUCAUGUCUCUUUCAAGAGGAUAAACAUAUUCUAUAACUGGGCGAGAAUGUUCUCUAUUCACUAUUUUAAUAAAAUUAAGUUAAAUUUUUGUGCCAAA